rnacentral:rRNA from 1 species
UGCGUAGGUGGUUUAACAAGUUGGUAGUGAAAUUCCGAGGCUUAACUUCGGCGCUACUGCCAAGACUGUUGAACUUGAGUACAGGAGAGGUAAGUGGAAUUCCUAGUGCAGCGGUGAAAUGCGUUGAUAUCCUGCAGAACACCGGUGGCGAAGGCGGCAUCCUGGGACGUUACUGACGCUGAGGCGCGAAAGCAGGGGGAGCAAACA